rnacentral:rRNA from 1 species
UACGGAGGAUGCAAGCGUUAUCCGGAUUCAUUGGGUUUAAAGGGUGCGCAGGCGGGUUAUUAAGUCAGAGGUGAAAUCCCACAGCUCAACUGUGGAACUGCCUUUGAUACUGAUAGUCUAGAGUAUAGUUGAAGUUGGCGGAAUGUGUCAUGUAGCGGUGAAAUGCUUAGAUAUGACACAGAACACCGAUCGCGAAGGCAGCUAGCUAAGCUAUAACUGACGCUCAUGCACGAAAGCGUGGGGAUCAAACAGGAUUAGAUACCCUGGUAGUCCACGCUGUAAACGAUGAUUACUCGAUGUUGGCGAUACACAGUCAGCGUCUAAGGGAAACCAUUAAGCCAUCCACCUGGGGAGUACGGCUGCAAGGCUGAA